rnacentral:rRNA from 1 species
UUGAUUCGAUCGAACAAACCCCGGUGACCUUCGUGUGCGCCCGAUCCCGAUGGGGGGGUUACCUCCCUCGGGUGGCCGGUCCGAUCUCUCGAUCGGGCCGGGUCGCGGGCCUGCACCCUUUCGGGAGGUGUGGACCUCUGCGGCGGCCAACACCAGAUCCGCAAAACCCGCCCUGAAGCAGCUGGCUGGUGUGGGGCGUGAGCCCCUCCCAGCCUGGAACGUAAGACAACUCUCAACAACGGAUAUCUAGGCUCCCGUAACGAUGAAGAACGCAGCGAAAUGCGAUACGUAAUGUGAAUUGCAGAAUUCCGUGAAUCAUCGAGUCUUUGAACGCAAAUCGCGCUCGAGGCCUCGGCCGAGAGCAUGUCUGCCUCAGCGUCGUCUCAAACCCUCCCUCCUGGCUCCAAGGAGCCCGAAGGGGAUGUGGUCGUUCCGGUUCCCUGCACCGGAUCGGUCGAAGUACAGAAGGGCCCCUCGACUCACAAGGGCCAUCGAAAGGUAGACGCCGGCGGGCUGAUCCGAUCGAUGCUCGAGUCGCAGGCUGCCUUGCAGCCGGAGAAUCAAACACUGUGACCUGAGUUCAGGCAAGAUCACCCG